GCUCUUGUAGCUUUGUUGGUUAGAGCACUCGUUUAGUAAGCGGGAGGUCUUGAGUUCACCUCUCAACAAGAAUA
rnacentral:tRNA from 1 species